CAAACAGUACGUGAAACCGUCGGGAGGGAAACGAACGAGGUUGGUGCAGCGAUCGCGCAGGCUCAGGUUCGGCCGAAGGCACCAGCGGGGAGACCCAGAUUGUCCCCCGUUGUCUGCUGGAGGCAGAGCCGUACUCCUCGCGAGCGCGGACCAGCGGCGGUUGGAGAGGGGCCACAAGACCGGCGGGACGGUAUCUCGGGUCGGGGCUUGCCCCGUCGCCGAGAACUUAUAGCCAAUCGUGUCGGUGCCCCGCUCGGACCGAGGAAGGAGGGCAGCUCUUGCCCAAAGUGGUGUACGCCGAAUGGCGGGGCCUCCCGUCGGGGGUGAGCCGUGCUGUGUGGACUGCGUGCAGUGCUCGCUGUUACGGCAAACCCGCGGUCGGAGAGUGUCACUUGUGCACCAGUGCUGCUGGUAUUGGGACGGCCUCGUCCGA
rnacentral:sRNA from 1 species